UCCCAAACCCCAAUGUGAACGUUACCAAUCUGUUGCCUCGGCGGGAUUCUCUUGCCCCGGGCGCGUCGCAGCCCCGGAUCCCAUGGCGCCCGCCGGAGGACCAACUCCAAACUCUUUUUUUCUCUCCGUCGCGGCUCCCGUCGCGGCUCUGUUUUAUUUUUGCUCUGAGCCUUUCUCGGCGACCCUAGCGGGCGUCUCGAAAAUGAAUCAAAACUUUCAACAACGGAUCUCUUGGUUCUGGCAUCGAUGAAGAACGCAGCGAAAUGCGAUAAGUAAUGUGAAUUGCAGAAUUCAGUGAAUCAUCGAAUCUUUGAACGCACAUUGCGCCCGCCAGUAUUCUGGCGGGCAUGCCUGUCCGAGCGUCAUUUCAACCCUCGAACCCCUCCGGGGGGUCGGCGUUGGGGGAUCGGCCCCUCACCGGGCCGCCCCCGAAAUACAGUGGCGGUCUCGCCGCAGCCUCUCCUGCGCAGUAGUUUGCACACUCGCACCGGGAGCGCGGCGCGGCCACAGCCGUAAAACACCCCAAACUUCUGAAAUGUUGACCUCGGAUCAGGUAGGAAUACCCGCUGAACUUAAGCAUAUC
rnacentral:rRNA from 1 species